UACAGAGGGGGCAAGCGUUGUUCGGAAUUACUGGGCGUAAAGAGCUCGUAGGUGGUUUGUCGCGUUGUCCGUGAAAAACUCACAACUCAAUUGUGGGCGUGCGGGCGAUACGGGCAUCACUGGAGUUCGGCAGGGGAGACUGGAAUUCCUGGUGUAGCGGUGAAAUGCGCAGAUAUCAGGAGGAACACCGGUGGCGAAGGCGGGUCUCUGGGCCGAUACUGACGCUGAGGAGCGAAAGCGUGGGGAGCGAACAGG
rnacentral:rRNA from 1 species